GACGAGUGCAGCACCGCGGGCGAGGUCUGAGCAGAGCGGUUCCCCUGCCUGGCCUCGGCUCCUCACCUCCCCGGGGCGCUGCAUGGGCCCCACGGCCUUGUCACUUUGUCCCCAGUACUUUUCUAACUCCCACUGGAGUGAGGCUCCCAGGACACUGAAUGUGUUUUGUUGGGGUUUUUUGGGGUACCGGGGAUCAAACUCGGGACCUUGUGCUUGCAAGGCAGGUGCCAGAACCGAAAGCACUGAGCUAAAUCCCCAGGUCCCCGCUUUUUUUUUUGGUACCGGGGAUCGAACUCUGGUCCUUGCGCUUGCACAGCAGGAAGCGGAAACCACUGAGCUAAAUCCCCGGCCCUGAAUGUGUUCUCUUGCUUAUCUCCUUGUCCCCCAAGCCCACAAAGCAACGUUAACUGCGUGCGUGCAAGUCCAGCCCUGUCCAGCGCCCUUCUGCCCUGCUGUCUUAACCCCAAACUCCCGGGGCGGCCAGGGCACCACUGAGCGAUCAGUGCUGGAAGCAGGCGUUAGGCAGUAAACUUUUUACUUCUGGGAGGUGUUGUGUGUGCGGGGGGGUCUUCACAUCCAGAGGGAGGUCACAGCCUGAGUGUCCAGGUGGGCGCUCUUGGGUUCACCUCACCCUGCGCCCCCAGAGCAGGGGGGGCUGCAGCAGUGCACAUGACGCAGUGACACCCACUGACAAAGACACCAGGAGGCCAGGGCUAGAAACAGCUUAGUAUAUUGAUCUGGGGAGGGAAGGGUGCAGAUGGGAAACAGGGUGGCAAGGGGCUCCUUAGUGUUUGCCAGUAACUACCUCCAGGCUCCCUUCACCCCCUGGCCUUCCUCCUCUGUCUGGUUCUCACCCUUUCCGGGGUCUCCUCUCCCUCGUCCUGCACGCCUUGACCUCGACCUGACCUCCAGCGACUGCACAGAGCCCAGCCAGGCUCUGAAGCUGGGGAGGUGGGGGCCAACCCCUUUGCUCCCUCUCACCCCCCACCGCAUUCCCAUCUCUUGUCUAAAGGAAAUGUACAGAAGCAAGCGCAGCAGGGUCUGAAGAAGGGGCUCACCCCGGGCAGGGCAGGGUGGGGACAGGAGGGGCAGCCAGAGCCUCAGCCCACUCGGGCACCGGGGAGACCAGCUUGGGCCUCCCCUCUCUCAGGCUGGCCUGGCAGCUGCAGACUCCAUGCCUCCCCUCAGGCACCAUGUCACGGGGUCCCCGGGGUCGGGGGCAGCCGGGACAGCAAAGGAGAAGCUAGGUCUGUGACGGCAUCCCUUCCCUUAGCUCCUACAGGAAGCCCUCUUUGGUAUUUAAGGCAGAUGUAGAGUUUCCUGGAAGCAGGGAAAGGAAGGAAGGAAGGGGGGAGAAAUUAGGGUUGAGAGAGAAUUUUUUUUUUGCUUAUGCUUUUCCUUCAGUAUAAAACCACUGUAGAAAAUAACUUCUCUUAGAAAAAAAUACAGAAGAAAAAAAAAACCAAAGCGGGUGUUUUCUUUGGCUUCAAGCCUGCUCCCAUGAGGUGCAGGGCAGGGGUGGGCAUGAGGUGAGCAGGAAGCAGGGGCCUCCGCCCUCAGCCCUGCCCGGCAGGUCCCAGAUUACAUGAUGCUGCAGUUCUGGGGUUUCUAAGAGAGAAGAGAGGGGAGUGCGUGAGCCGAGGCCGCACUGGUCCCUACCUUCCCGGCCUGCGCCUGUGGAAGGAAGGUGGUGUUGCCCCAUCCCUCACCCUCCGCCCCCGCCCUCAAGUCUGGGGCUCAGACCGGAGGGGCAGGAAGUGGGAGUGGGCUGUUCAGGACCCAGGCUGAGGGGAGCUCCCACUCCCCCGGGCUGCGGAGGAGAAGGCUCUGUCCCCAGGCCCACUGUGUCCUAAGCCUCAGUGACCAGGGUCUGGUCUAGGGCCAACUCACCUGGGUUCGGGGCGGGAGUUGCCCAGGAGGUAGGAGCGGGUGACCAGGUUGUCCCCCGAAGCUGCCACCCCCACUGCCCCCCACACUGCGGUAGCUGCGAGUGACUGUGACACUGGAGGCGGAGGAGCCAGAGGAGAUGGAUCCGCCCAGCUGGGCUGCCGAGCUGCUGGCAGAUGCCUUGUCGGCUGGCUGCCCGCAUGUCCCGCACAGCACGGUGCGUGAGCGCAGGUUGUACUCGGCGGGGUCCCCCGAGCUGCUGCAGUGGGAGCCCUGGGGAGGGAGACAAGGCUCAGGCGGAACGGCGAGUCUGGGACCGACUGCUCAGAUGCCAGACACAGGCUCCGGCUCCUGUGGGCUGCCAGCCUUGGGCCGGUGGGCAGGCGGGAAGGUGGGGUUUGUGCUGGGAGCCAGAGGGGCUGGAAGUCAGGGGCUGGAAGGAGGAUGCAAAGGGGAGAAAGGUCAAGAAGAUGGAUGUAGAGAGUGGCUUUGACUCUGAGCUUAAGAGGAAAAGUGGGGUGGGGAAGGAACAAGCUUACAGAGCAGUAGACAUGCAAAGUUAAUUCGAGAGGGGCAGGAAUGAGAGAAAACAUUCUUGCAGAAGAAGUGAGGGCGGUAAAAGGACAUCGUGCUAUAAGACCAGAAGACAAGAAAGGAAAUGCAUGCAGCCUGAAAGGGGGAGAUGCAGGGCUGGAGCGCCCACCUCUGUCCUCCGUCCCCUGCCAGGAGACAAAUCCAGACAAAUCCUUGUCCCCUGCUCCCGUGGGAAUUCUCCACGGCACCAGGAAGUUCCCACUCCCUUCCUUACCAGAGGAGGGCGCCCAGACACCUGGGCUCCCUGCUCCAGGUAGGGGAGGAGAGAGAAGAAAGGCCAGGCAGCGAGUGAAGUUCCAAAACAUUCUUUAAUGAAAAGACUUUGGCAUGGGAGGCGGGGAGAGAGGCUGCCCAGGCCCCGGCGGGCGCGCUGCGGGCUGCUCAGCGGCGGCUGCCACUCACGUGGUGGUGAUGGAGCAGGUCCUCUCCAUCCUCAUCCUCGUCGUCCUCCACCACGGUCACGGAGCCGCACCAGCUUGCGCAUGGCCACCUCCUGCAAGGACGCAGGGUGCGGAAGGUCAGGGAGCAGAGCGGUAGCAGCCGGUCUACCUGCAGGGCCAGCUGGGACUUCCUGAACCAGGGGGCCUCGCUUUGCUUGGGAAGGAGCAGGGGAACCCUCCUGGCUGACCUCGCCCCUGGCCCUGUGGGCUGAGGACAGCUGCCCCAGCUCCGGCCACUAGGGGGGCCCCGGGAGCGGAGCGGCGCACGCACCUCGCCGGUGGAGUUGAUGAGAGCAGUGCGCAGGCUGUUGCCACAGCCCCAGGUGCUCUGUGCCUUCCACACCAGGUCGGUAGGGGGGCUGUGGGUGGCCCCGGCUCCUGAGGCCCAGAUCUGGGGAAAGAGGAUUAGAGGACAGCGCUCACUCUGCUGCUGCCGUCCUCAGCCCCAGGCGUCCCGCAGCACCUCCAGGCUCAGAGACUCACCGUCACAACCUGCCCAGCCUUCAGGGUGAAUUUUGGUGGGAAGGCGGUAGGUCAGCAAGGGGUCAUCUCCAUUCUGGCGCUUGAUCUGCCAGUUGCCCAUGGACUGGUCCUGCGGAGGGCAGGGACGAGAGGCAGGUUCAGUGUGCUGCUCCCGGGCCAGGCGGGGGCCGUGGGGCACAACUGCAGUGCCAGCCACUCCAGAGCUGAGCAUCACGUCACAGCGAGCCCAGGCAGGCCUGCCUCCGUCCACACAGGGAGGCUGCUUUCCCUCCCUCCACUCCCAGCCGCCUGUGCCCGGUCCCAAGGAUUUGUCCUUGCUCUUUUCCUCUUCCCACUCACUCACUUAGGGCCUAUUUUAUUUUUAUUUUUGGCAGUACUGUGGAUUGAAUCCAGGGCCUUUUCCACUGAGCUGCAUCCCCUUUUCACUGUGUGAGACAAGGUCUCACUAAGUGGCUAAGUCGCCCAGGCUGGGCCCACUCUUGCCUCCUCCCCAUCCUCCUGCCUCAGCCUCCCAGAGUACUGGGAUCACAGAGCGUGCAGCACACGCCUGGCACGUAGGGCCUGCUCCUCAUCCCUGUUGCAGGUUGGGAAACACCUGCCCCCGGGUUCACAGCGAGUCCAGGAGCCAGGCCCGGAGCUUGGCAGUGCCCCCUCCAGCCCUGCCUGGCAGCCUACCUCGUUGGACUUGUUGUGCAGCCGCACAAACUUGCCCCCCUCGUCCACCUCCUCCACGGCCACGCGCCCGCUAGUGCGCGCGUGCUGCGAGAAGCUGCUGCGGCUCUCUGUGGACUCCAGCUUGCGCUUUUUGGUGAUGCUGCCCCCGCGCCAUGCGUCUGGGAUGAGUGGGAGGAGGUGCGGCCGCGGCUGCGCUGCGAGGUGGGGCUGGGGGACAGGCGGAGCCUGGGGAGGCAGAGAGGCUGUCAGGCCUGAUGCAGGCGCCCACUGCCCCGCCCCCGCCUCCUCCUGGGGCACCCACCUCUCCUCCUCGCCCUCCAGGAGCUUGCGGUAGGCGUGGAUCUCCAUGUCCAGCGCCAGCUUGAUGUCCAGCAGCUCCUGGUACUCGUCAAGCUGCUGCUGCAUCCUGGCGCGCAUCUCCGCCAUCUCCCGCUCCUUGUCGGCCAGCAGCCGGCGGCUGGUGUCCCGUUCCCGGGCCAGCGCUUCCAGGUCCUUGAGCCGGGCCUGGGCGGCCAUCAGGUCACCCUCCUUUUUGGUGUUGCUGAAAAGAGAGAAGAGUAGGUUUCAGAAGAGUCGGCUCUCCCUGCAGCUGCCAGGAGGGGGCGUCCUGGCUUUAGGUUUGUGCAUCUGCCUGCCUCUGGGGCUGGGCUCCCACCUCCCCCAGGUCCCCCAAACCCCAUUCCUGUCCUCCACCCUUCCCAUGACUCAGGGCUCAGGAACGUGCCUAGGGCCAAGGGCAAAGCUAGAUCCCAUGAUAUGAAUGCUUUUCCUUCUCUCCCCUCCCAUUCCUCCCAAAGACACAGGGGCACCUUUGUCUGGCACCCCUCCCACACAGGGCCUUAACCUUCCCCUCCCUGGGCUCC
ensembl:lncRNA